CUAAUAAAAUGUCUUGUCAGAGGAAUCCUGGAACCCAGGAAGGGAGAGAAGAGAUUCCGCAAUCUGCACUGGCCAGGCAGGAGCCUCCGACAUCAGAGACAGACGGCAUCCAUCCAGCGUCUCUCAGAAGGAACUGCAGCUGCCUCCCUCAGUUACCCCACCCAGGGUCUGCUGAGCCUUGCUCAAGGAAAGUGCUCUGUGAUGUCUAAGGAAUGCCUCGUGGAAGUCUGAUUUGCUUUUGUCUAGACUUGGGAGGAAGCAGAGGUUAGCUGUCAGAGUGCCCUGUAUAUAUGCCCUUCUGAAUCCCAGCUUUCUCGACUCACCCACCUUAUUCGUCUAUUUGGACUCCCUGAUCAAAUGAGAAAAGUUUCCCUGUCCAUGUGAGUGGUACCUACCACACCCUCCUUAGCAUAUUGACUGGUGCAUUCCUCUGGUUGGAAAUGUUUAUUAGUCAUUCACUCCUUAGUGUAAAAUGACUCUAUCACCCAGUGAGAAAUUGGCAGUCCUGAAUAAAGGUGGAAGAUUGAGAAGUGGGCGUGUGGGGCAAGAGGUCAUUUUUAAAUGUAAAAAACUAUGAAACAAGAAGGGAGAUGAUUCCUUCUAUAGGGAGAUGUUCCAAAAACAUAAAGAUUCUAGAGCUGGAGGAAAUGAGACAGCACUUUGAGGAACAGAGUUUGGCGGUGCUGUUGAUAAAGGAAGGUAAAAGGACAAAAUCAUUCAAUUUGUAGACUUCUUCAGCACAUUGGUGACAGUGCCUGCAACUGACUACUGGAAGCCACUGCCUUUUGCCCUUGACAUGCUUUGGUAGGUUGUGUUGCCUAUGUUUGUGCUGUAUGUUACCAGAUACAAAUUUAAAUCUUCCUCAUGUAGUAUUCUUAAAGAAACAUCAGACGCAUUUCAGAUCUAUCCCACUCUACCUAGAAGAUGGACUUCGUUUCUUCCUUCCACAUUCUUAUUCUCUUUCCUCCUCUCCACUUUAAUCUCUUCAGGAAAAGGCACAUCAGUAGCCAGGCACAGUGGCUCAUGCCUGUAAUUCUAGCACUUUUGAGAGGCCAAGGAGAGAGGAUUUCUUGAGCCCAGGAGUUCGAGGCUGCAGUGAGCCAUGAUCACCGCACUGCACUCCAGCCUGGGUGAGAGAACGAGACUCUG
rnacentral:lncRNA from 10 species